AUGUGUUGUGAGGGUUUGACGAUGGUGGUCCGGUUUGCUCCACCGACUUUCAUGGCUUGGAAUUGGUGUGAUAUGGAGGUUUGGAAUGAUGGUGGUUUGAAAUGAUAUUGCAUGCUAACUUGCUAGGCUAGUCUGGAUUUGGACUUUGACCAGCGUUGUGGAUGCUCUAAUAAAAAGUGAUUCGCCCUUGACUAAUGAUCUUUAGGGCCGUCCCUGAGCAAUUACAGUUGGCUAAUUCACUAGCAAAUGCAAGCUCUGAAAAUGAAUUCUUGUGGACUGUUAUAGUUAACAAUGAUCAUAAAUGACUUCAAAAAGUUUAUAAAGAUAAAAACUUAUAGAUUUACUUAAGUUUCUUUUGUAAGAGCCUCCACAACCCUGAAGGGUCAUAGACAUGAUCAUAAAUGACUACAAACUUUUUGAUCCCUUUGUUUGUGCACAUUAUGAAUCUGAUAUAUAAAACAACCAAAGCAUCAUCAAACCGAAACCGAAACUAAAACUGUAUCAUUCCUUCUAACAAUUCGAAAAAAAAAAAAACGAAAUCACAUAUCGCCCCAUCAUGCAUGCCUAGGUUCCUCAUCAAGCCAAGUAUCGAUACAACUUUCUAUCCUCCCUAUCCCUUUCUAAAAACUCCCUCUCGAUAAGCGACUCAAUCCGUUUCUUUAUCACAAUAGGGUUCGCCAAGAAUCUCGAUUGCAGUUGCUUUGUAACUUCCGCCACAAUAUUAUUAUGAUCCAACACCCGUCUUGCUUUCAUAAUUCUCACGAUCGCCGCCUCGAUCUGUGGCUUUCUGUCUUCCUCUACCCUCUGCCUUGUUUCUUGCUUUUCGGGUUCUGAUUCCUUCUGUGCCACCACCGUCCCAAUCUUCACCUUGUAGAGUUUACUAGAAAAACUAUCGUUAAAAAAGAAGCUGUCGUUUUCACUUACGUCUUUGCUCAUUGGUUCUUUCCUCAAAACAUUCUUCCCCUUUGCACAAGCUAACGAUUGCAAGCACCGUUUCAGUUCAACGGUUGGUAUCUCGACUGCCUGCUCGAUUUCUUUGUAACUCAACUGAUCCACGUUGUUGAAAAGCAUCAAAACACACAUUUGAUACGUUGAAACGUUUAGCUCGUGCUUUUUACCUCCCGAAAAAGUUGCUUUGAUAUCAGCAGAACCCAUGUUUGUUUGCCAUGUUAAUCUCCGUCCGUUGUGGGUCCCAAGGUAAUACGUUUUGAAUCUCUCACACACAGUAAGUAUUUCAUGUGGAAGGUUGCAAGCGGGUAUAGAUUGAGUCGGCCACGAGCCGGUUGUCAGAACUUGUACGGAAAGUAUCGGUCCAUUCGCUAACGCGCGUCCCAUAGCUUCAUAAAACCCUUGCAUUGU
rnacentral:lncRNA from 1 species